rnacentral:ncRNA from 1 species
UUCUGUUGGUGACAUUUUAAUGGACCAACAGCUAAGAGGGAAUUAGGUGAGAAUCCUGAACAGUCGUGCUGCUGUAUGCGUGCAGCCAGAUUUUGUUAUCCAUUGCAUUAUGUGAGAAGGAAAAAUCUGGUGUUACUGCGUGAGUCAGAAUACCUGCUUAGAGCU